UUCCACAGUGUGAGUUGUUUCACUGUGCCCUUCCCAGUAGAUUGCUAGAAGCCUCUGAAGUUAUGAGUUGAAACAAAUCAUUUCUCCCUCAGGUUGUGUCUGUCACGUAUCUAUAACAGCAAUGAGAAAAGCAUGUAUCUUGAAUUCAGCUCACUCCACUCCACUCAACAGAUGUAUGUUGAAAACCCAAGGUUGUGAAUCCAUCAAUCAGAAGAUGUACAUCAGCAAUAACCACAAGCAUAAUAUGAUCUGAGCCUCCCCGACAGCUCGGGAGGGAGCACCGGUAUCCCUUGGGAUAUGUUGCCUCAGCAAAACUGUUUAACACUGAACAAGAGAUGGCAGGUAUGGCACAGUUCAAAGAGCAGCUUCCUAGAGUUCCUGAAUGGCUG
rnacentral:lncRNA from 1 species